CGGCGGACGGGUGAGUAAUGCCUAGGAAUCUGCCUGGUAGUGGGGGACGAACGUUUCGAAAGGAACGCUAAUACCGCAUACGUCCUACGGAGAAAGCAGGGACCUUCGGGCCUUGCGCUAUCAGAUGAGCCUAGGUCGGAUUAGCUAGUUGGUGAGGUAAUGGCUCACCAAGGCGACGAUCCGUAACUGGUCUGAGAGGAUGAUCAGUCACAGUGGAACUGAGACACGGUCCAGACUCCUACGGGAGGCAGCAGCC
rnacentral:rRNA from 1 species